rnacentral:rRNA from 1 species
CCAAUAGCGUAUAUUAAAGUUGUUGCAGUUAAAAAGCUCGUAGUUGAAUUUCAGGCCUGGCUGGACGGUCCGCCUUUUGGGUGAGUACUGUCUGUGGUCGGGUCCUACCUUCUGGCGAAGCGCCAUGGCCUUAACCGGCCGUGGCGGGGAACCAGGACUUUUACUGUGAAAAAAUUAGAGUGUUCAAAGCAGGCAGUCGCUUGAAUACAUUAGCAUGGAAUAAUGGAAUAGGACAAUGGUUCUAUUUGUUGGUUUCUAGGACCGUUGUAAUGAUUAAUAGGGAUAGUUGGGGGCAUUAGUAUUCAAUUGUCAGAGGUUAAAUUCUUGGAUUUAUUGAAGACUAACUACUGCGAAAGCAUUUGCCAAGGAUGUUUUCAUUAAUCAAGAACGAAAGUUAGGGGAUCGAAGACGAUCAGAUACCGUCGUAGUCUUAACCAUAAACUAUGCCGACUAGGAAUCGGGCGAUGUUGACAAAAUGACGCGCUCGGCACCUCAUG